UGAACCCUCCAUUGUUCCUGGUCUUUGCUCCCUGGUUCCCGCGGGGUGGUGGUGAGUAAAGCCCCUCAGGACAGGUGUACCCAUCACCCCUCUCAUCUCUGCAGCUGCUGUGGGUGAUCCGAGGCCGAGUGAGUCUGUAAAUGGAGUGUCUGCUGCUGACCUGAGCGCUGUCCAGCUGGAGAUGUCUUUUGGAAGGUAGCAUCACCCUGCCAUUCAGACCACAGCACUAUGCUGUGUGAUUUCAGAGAACUUUCUUCAAACACAAGAAAAUACGUCAAUUUUCAAUCUUAACAUUUGCUUGGAAAUCCAUUUUUCUGAGCAUUCUGAAGCAGUUUGAGACAUCAGGGUCAUUUGAAGAGAACACAAGCUACAUACCAGAACAAUAUAAGCUACAGCAAUAUUUUGGAAGAAAGCAUCUUUCAGGUCUCCAGAUAUUUAUGCAUUGCUUGAAAAUGAGUAUGGAAGUUGUCCAAUAACUUUACCAGACUGAACACGACCGGGUCACUUGCUGACUCACAGAAGUGGUGCUCCUGCUUCUCUCAUGUAGCAUUCUGGGUGAGCUGGAAAAGGGAGAACAAAGAGCUGCUUGUAUCCCAGGAUUUCCUCUGGUAGACUUGCUCUGAGAGCAGCUCAGAUCUAAGGUGGAGAUCAGAAAGAGACACCAUCAUCAGUAUCUGAACCCCAUUAACUUCAAAUCCCUUGAAUCCAGGAGCAAAGCUGAAGGCAAAGGCUGUCUGAGUCAUUCCCACCAUCCUCAGAUCACAGGAGCAUCCACACACGGUACAAGGGGCUGGAAGGGUGCACGAGGGGCUUCAUGGAUACUCAUCCUGUUCUCCAAAAACAAACUCUGUUCAAUUGCUUUUUCAAAUUCUUUACCUGAGAACCAUGAUAGGGCUUAAUAUUUUAAUUUAUUUUAAUGCUUUGCAUUUUAAUUCCUUACUUCAAACUCAACUACUCAGCUGCUGCCAUUGGCCAUUGAAAAACCAAGGAAAAAUCCUAGUCAAUGCAUAUACUUUUUUGUUUAUCAUAUUUUGUAACUUUGAACUUUAGCAACAGAAAUAUUUUGCACUGGAGCUUGCUACUUACUGCCAAGUUCUUCUUUGGUCCCCUGCUGUUGCAGUAAUGCAUUGCUAAAGACAUGAAUUUCUGAAAGACUUUUAUUUUUGUCUCCCUACAAUUCCCUUGUAUAGGUAGACAUCUGAAUAUCAGUCAACAGGUAGUCUUCAAUUUGCACAUUAUUAAACAAUGUUUGGGAUUUAGUUGUUU